rnacentral:lncRNA from 1 species
CGGGUGCGCCACCUCCAGGGUGUACUGCCGCAACCGGAGGUACCGUCCCUGCUCAGCGAGGCAUUGCCAGCGCUGAACCUCGUCUCCGUCGACGAGUAGCUGAGUCUGGCAGCCGCACCGAUCCGAUUCCUGCGGACCCACAAGAGGAAGAACGGCGUAUUGCUGAGGACAUCAUCCAUAAGGUCAACAAGUAUGCACUACCAUUGAGUACAACGCUACGGUGCAACCCUAUUAGCAUCUACACGAAGGUCGGCAGCCGAGUCCUUGGGUUGGCUCGUCAGCACACCGGCACUGGCAACCCCCAGCCUGGGCCCAUGUUUGGUCCAGCGAGGCCUGCGGCAGGCACUCUGCAAGCUUCUCUUUCAGAGCGUCCAUCUUCAACAAUACCCGCCUGGAAGUCUGAUGCCGUCGUACCACCCUGGCAAGUUUGCAAAGCUACCGUAUGGAUAAUUGACGGACAUGGAGGACAAGUUCCCGUCCCUGCUGUCAUCGAUUCUGGGGCUUCUCAUAGCGUUGUUACACGAGACACACUACGGCGUUUAGAUCUUCUACACCUGAUGGAGGAGACGGAGGUGACGUUCCUGAAUGCGGAUGGCAAUCGUGGUCGGGCCGCUGGACGUGUCAGUGAACUGCAAGUGUCCACUGGCGACCUAACGAUGCUGCUGAGUCCGUUCGUCAGCACCGCCCUCAACUAUCAGCUACUCCUGGGCACCGACUUCCUCUACCCAAUACGAGCAAGUAUUUCGUACGACAGUGGUCGUCUGGAAUACACCAAUGACCGGGAUCAGCGGUCCAACAUUGCUAUCCAUUUUCUUCGGAGCCCCGGCUCUAAUAUUCCCCCGUCUGCUCGACUUUGGGACGACUCACCUGAGCAAGACGACACUCAACCAGCUUCCAUGUUGACGGCCGAGGCAUCAGUACAGCGGCCUGAGACGCCCACGCCACAAGGGCAGAUAUCGCCUGCGGCUAUCAAUAGAGGCUCCGCGCCUGAAACCAUUGAUUCACCUGAUGGAAACAGCGGAGAGGUUAGUGAUGGAGAUUCGACAGCCCGUGGGGACAUGGACAUGGAACACAUCGUCGGCAUACUUGUACGGCAAGUGCUUAGGUCAGACGAGAUUCCGUCAGAAAAUGCCUCCAGCGGCGAAUGGGCUGCGGAUGCAUGGAGUACCGACAGCGUCGUCAGUUCUGGCAGUGAAGAGGCUCGGGCAAAUGUCUGGCCUGGAGAUGAGUUCGAGUACGACAAUGACUCGCACUCCGGACCUGGACCGCCAAUAUCGACCCCUGCGGAUCCAUUCCGUUCUUUUCCUGAAACUACUCCCGUCUUAAGUUCGCGAGAGCUCCUGUUACCACGAUUGCUAACUGAGGAGUGUGCUUCCGUUACCCACAGCCAUGCUGCGGCAGCACAGUUUGAUGCGAACAUGCCAGCUGCCCUUGCCCCAGACGGCUUGGAUCAUGACGGACAUUUAGAGGAGGCUCAUUUUCGCGGGUUGGUAGCCCGUGCAGUUCGGCCAGUCAAGAGCCCUACCCCUGAGCUACGCGAGUUGCUAAGCAGCAAAGUAAACACCGACCUUCAGUACCUCGACCACCAGCAGCUGGUCACAUGUUUGACUGACAACUUUGACAUGUUCGCCUUAACCAACCGAGAGCUAGGGCUUACGUCCUGGGUGUCCAUGAAGGUGGACACAGGAGAUCAUCCUCCUAUCGUGCAGAAUCCUUACCGUCUGUCACGAACGGAGAAAGCCGCCGUUGAUGCUGAGAUGCGGCAGAUGCUACAGGACGGAAUCAUCGAACUGUCCAACAGUCCUUGGGUGUCUCCAGUAGUAGUCGUUCCCAAGAAAAACGGAGAACUCCGGCCCUGUGUGGAUAUGCGGAGGGUCAACGACGUCACUAAGGACAUCCGGUUUCCGAUAGGCCACAUCCAGGAUAUUUUGGAUAUUGCUGCACCUCCGGGUGGCGAGACUCGUUACUACUCCAGCCUGGACUUGAAGUCGGGCUACUGGCAAGUCCCGAUGGCGGACGAGGCUUCUAAGGAGCGUACGGCAUUUGCCACGCCCACAGCUCAGUAUCGAUAUGUACGAAUGCCCAUGGGUCUAAAGGGGGCAGCCGCCGUGUUCACUACCCUGAUGCACAAGGUUCUGGGCCCACUACUAGAGGAUUCGCCUCCACCCCCUGCUUCAUCGGAUAGCCC